GAUGUAGCUCAGUGGUAGAGCACUUGCCUAGCAUGUGCAAGGUCCUGGGUUCCACUCCCAGGACAGCA
rnacentral:tRNA from 1 species